GUACGAACUUGUCCGAAGUUAUGACGUCACGCUAAGCAUGACGUCAUCUAAACUUUGGACAGUCAGCCGGGUGUACUGAUCAGGUCGCGUAUUCCUAGGAAGAUGUCGCCUAGCAUGACUUUGGCGAUACAUAUACUACACUACGCGUCUACAAGUUUUCUGUGUUACGUUCAAAUGUCUCAACUGUCAUUUCUAGAACCUUUUUUCUAAUGUUCUCAUCUUCUUAGACGUCACAAUCUGACGCUUACGUCACUAACUCAGGUGUUUUCGUAAUUCGAAACCGGAAUGCGUUCUUCGAACGGUGUCGUUUUUCAGUCUAACAGUUUGAAACCGUGUGGCGAUGAAGUCGCCACGGCUACUUUUUAGUCUGUGUCUUUGACGAAAUAGACUUUUUUAACGGGGGAAUUACGGACAAUAUUAUAUCAUAUCAUGUCGUGCAGUAAAUCUUUGAAGGCUACAGAUCUCCAUUCGUCCUAGAGAGUCGAGUUUGACUGGAAGGAUUUUCCGGAAGAACUUGUUCAGGGAUGUUGUGCUGUUGCAUCUGUUUUGUGCGUGCCAACGGUGGCUGUUUUAUAUAGCCUUAUCACGGUCGCGGCUUUUGCUGUAAGCCAUGCACAAGUCUCUCCACCUGACACCAAAUGGAGGGAAAAUGUUCUUCUGUGGACAGCCAUCUGUCUGCCAACAGCGAAGCAGAAGAAGACAUGAAUAAGUCCAUUGAGGCAAACGAUGUGAUCGGGGGAGAGAAAAGGAAGCUGUGCGCCGCUUCAACGCUGCUGUCUCCACUAUGUGAUGCAGACGAUGACAACGACUUUGCUCUGACAACCAAUAAAAGGAGAUCAAUUUAAACAGUCUUUCUAUGUAAAAGGGGUGUGACCGUGCAGGCAGAAAAUGGCAUACUUCUGUACUAAAUGGUGGAAGUACUUCAAUUAAUUGUUAAAUUACAAGGAAUAAAAUAACAACUACUACUUCUUAUUAUACAAAGUAGUGAAAGAUGACUGCAAUACAUGUAGUUUAUAAGUAGAUAGGGGAGAUGUUUUCAGGUACUUGUAUUUAGAAGUGACGUAAAAAAAGGGAAAUAUAAUAUUAAGAGUGAACUUAAAUUAUUUUGUGUGCAUUGUU